GAUGAACGCUGGCGGCGUGCCUAAUACAUGCAAGUCGAGCGAACAGACGAGGAGCUUGCUCCUCUGCCGUUAGCGGCGGACGGGUGAGUAACACGUGGAUAACCUACCUAUAAGACUGGGAUAACUUCGGGAAACCGGAGCUAAUACCGGAUAAUAUAUUGAACCGCAUGGUUCAUUAGUGAAAGACGGUUUUGCUGUCACUUAUAGAUGGACCCGCGCCGCAUUAGCUAGUUGGUAAGGUAACGGCUUACCAAGGCAACGAUGCGUAGCCGACCUGAGAGGGUGAUCGGCCACACUGGAACUGAGACACGGUCCAGACUCCUACGGGAGGCAGCAGUAGGGAAUCUUCCGCAAUGGGCGAAAGCCUGACGGAGCAACGCCGCGUGAGUGAUGAAGGUCUUCGGAUCGUAAAACUCUGUUAUUAGGGAAGAACAAAUGUGUAAGUAACUAUGCACGUCUUGACGGUACCUAAUCAGAAAGCCACGGCUAACUACGUG
rnacentral:rRNA from 1 species